rnacentral:rRNA from 1 species
UACGGAGGGUGCGAGCGUUGUCCGGAAUCACUGGGCGUAAAGGGCGCGUAGGCGGCUCGAUAAGGCUGUGGUGAAAGCCCGGGGCUCAACCUCGGAUCGGCCGUGGCGACUCGUGGGCUGGAGCACUGUAGAGGCGGGUGGAAUUCCGGGUGUAGCGGUGGAAUGCGUAGAGAUCCGGAAGAACACCAGUGGCGAAGGCGGCCCGCUGGGCAGUGGCUGACGCUGAGGCGCGACAGCGUGGGGAGCAAACAGG